GCCCGUAUGGAAAAAUCGAUUUUUCCAUGCGGGCGCUUAAGUGAGUCGCAUGCGCAUGCGGCCCUCUUAAGAGGCCCGUAUGGGAAAAUCGAUUUUUCCAUACGGGC
rnacentral:pre_miRNA from 13 species